rnacentral:misc_RNA from 1 species
GAAAUGCGAUAAGUAAUGUGAGUUGCAGAAUUCAGUGAUUCAUCGAAUCUUUAAACGCACAUUGCGCCCGCCAGUAUUCUGGCGGGCAUGCCUGUUCGAGCGUCAUUUCAACCAUCAAGCCCCCGGGCUUGUGUUGGGGACCCUGCGGCUGCCCGCAGGCCCUGAAAUGCAGUGGCGGGCUCGCUGUCCACACAGACCGUAGUAGCAUGACACCUCGCUCAGGGCGAGCGGCGGGCUCCGGCCGUUAAACGCGACCUUCACGCAUACCAAGGUUGACCUCGGAUCAGGUAGGACGACCCGCUGAACUUAA